UACGUAGGGGGCAAGCGUUGCCCGGAUUUAUUGGGCGUAAAGGGCGCGCAGGCGGCUACGCACGUCCGUUGUGAAAUCGCUCGGCUCAACUGGGCGGGGUCAGCGGAUACGGCGUAGCUGGAGCAAGCUAGGGGGCAAUGGAAUUCCCGGUGUAGUGGUGGAAUGCGUAGAUAUCGGGAGGAACACCAGUGGCGAAGGCGGUUGCCUGGAGCUUUGCUGACGCUGAGGCGCGAAAGCUAGGGGAGCAAACGGG
rnacentral:rRNA from 1 species